GCCUACAGCCAUACCACCCUGAAAGCGUCUGAUCUCGGAAGCUAAGCAGAGAAGGGCCUGGUUAGUACCUGGAUGGGAGACCGUCUGGGAAUACCAGGUGUUGUAGGCU
ensembl:rRNA 5S_rRNA 5S ribosomal RNA